AUUUAUAUAGUUUAUUAAAACAUUACAUUUUCAUUGUAAAAUAAAGAUACAAUUCUUUUUAAAUA
rnacentral:tRNA from 1 species